UACGGGGGGGGCAAGCGUUGUUCGGAAUUACUGGGCGUAAAGGGCGCGUAGGCGGCCGGGGAAGUGGUGGGUGAAAGGUGAAGGCUCAACCGUGAGAGGACCUGGGAAACCACUGGGCUGGAGGGCCGGAGAGGGAAGCGGAAUUCCCGGUGGAGCGGUGAAAUGCGUAGAGAUCGGGAGGAACACCGGAGGCGAAGGCGGCUUCCUGGACGGACACUGACGCUGAGGCGCGAAAGCCAGGGGAGCGAACGGG
rnacentral:misc_RNA from 1 species